ensembl:snRNA U6 U6 spliceosomal RNA
AUGAGUAAGAGGGAUGCUUGCUAAAAUUGGAAUAAGGGAAGAUGGGCGUGUCCCCAGCACAAGGAUGACAUGUAAAUUCAUGAAGCAUUCCAUUUUUUU